AGCUGCAGAGCUGGGCGAAGAACACAGCUUCUGAUCUGUAGACUGUGCUGUCUCUCCGCAUCGUGCAAUGCAUGCUUGCAGCUGGGUUGGUAGGAAGAAAGUUCUUGCCAAGGGAGAAGUGAGCUUUGAAUUCUAUCAGAAAUGCGCAGGAAAGAAAUGACAAUGUAAUAGGCGUUGAGCUGUAGGUGCGGCAUUAAACCACGAUCAUGUGAACUAAACAAGAAUCUUUGUGUUCAAAAGAAAGCGUGUGCUUUUCUUCCUUGGAAAAUGCACAUUCAGAAGAUCCCUGGAUUGAAGUGGGAUGGUUCACAGCAGACAGCAUAAACAGCAAAUUUUUUUCUCCCUUCAGCAGAUCCCCAUGUCAAGAUCUACCCCUCCAUUCCUAAGCAUAAGAAACCUUAUUUGCAAUGAAAGAUGAUGAUGUGCUGAGACUGUGAAAAGAUUAUGCAAGAGCCCUGGGGAUGGCUCAGGCACAAGGCAAAGGAGCAGCUCUGCAGAUGGAACCAUCACGGCCUUCACAGAUUAGCGUGGACAGGAGGAGCGAUGCAUGAAGGAUGGCUGCCCUGGGCCUGCGCUCUGAGGAGAUGCAACCCGCUGAGGUGCUGAGGCGACCAGAAUUCGCAUGACCACAUCAGGAUGGCACCAAGCCAGAGGGCUUUUCGGAAAUUGUUCUUCCUUCUGCAGACAUUGAGAUGCUCCUUCUAAACCACUUACCAUCUGCUCAUGCGGAAGGUCAGAUGAUGAUAACCUGCUCAGUAAGACACAGGACUUUGUGGUCACCUCAAGAAAAGUGGGUUGGAGGAGACUGUGAGACCCUGGCAAAAUGAUAGCUACUUCAUUUAGUUAAUAUCAUCAUAGAAUCAUUAUUAGAGUUGGAAAGGACUCUUAAAGGCCCUCUGGUCCAACCCCCUGCAAUGAACAGGGACGCCUCCAUCUCCAUCAUGUGCUCAGAGCCAGUCCAGCCUGACCUCGUGUGUCUCUGGGGAUGGGGCACAACCACAUCCAUAACAUAGCUGAUGUGACAUACGUUAAGGCUGACCCUGUCUCUAUCACAUCAGCUUUGCAGCAGCUUCUAGCCAAAGCAAGUAAAAACUGGACUUGGACAUCGCUUUCUUUCAAGAAAGCCCCUGAUGACUAUGAACCGAAUUCAUUACUAAGCAGGACAGGGAAGUCUUUGGCUGUCCUAAAAGAGAAGCCAGAGAUGCUUGGGGAAAGAGGCUGAGCUGCACACAAGGAGGUCAGUUUCUUCAUUCCCUUUGACUUUUGAUGAGAUAUGCCUUUGAAAAUCCUCCCUCUGAUAUCCUGAGAUAAAAGUCUCCAGCUUCCAGACCAGAGCCCAAGCACAAAAUAUACUUCAGAAACUCCAGUGUGGAGGGUCCUGCUGUGGCAGGGCUUUGGGGAUGGUGUGCAAGUCCUUGGCAGACAUCGCUGCAUAGGGACGGUGUCGUGAGACUGGCCAGCUUUUUGCACCAUUUAUCGCAGAUACGGUAGGCCAGGGCUGCUUUUCACAUGAAUGCCAAUAGCUCUUCUGUUCCCUCCCCCUGGACACAUUUCAAAGCCCAUCAGCCCAUCACAACUAGCUCCUCCUGCUUCCCUUUCAAAGGCAUGUCAUGAGGCCAUCUUGCUCGCGGGCAAUGCGUAGGUUAUGUUCAUUUUUCCUGGAUGAGCGCAGAGCAGUGUCAUUGACCCAGCUGACUGUUCCUGCACAUAAACACAUAUUAAAACCACCCCCUGUUGUCAUUAACUGACUCGCUGUACUGUGCAAUGUGGCAGAUUUGGCCCUGUCCUCCUUCACAUAUAGCUCAGGACUGUCAACAAACCUGGAUUGAGGCAGCAGUGACCAUGAUGGCUCUGUGGUCAGAGGGCAACCACUCAGGGCGUGUGUGGUUCAGCAGGGAGGAAGGGGGAGA